CCCCCACCCCCUCUACUCCAUCGAUAAUGCUGUUAAAGACCUCCCACCCCCUCUACUCCAUUGAUAAUGCUGUUAUUCUACACAGCAUUGAGGAUAUUAUGUCUUAAAAACAAGCCUGGCCUUUGGACCAUAAGACCUGUGACUGAUAUAGUGACUGUUAUAUUGACUGAUAUAGUGACUGAUAUAGAGAUUGAUCAUGAUUGAUAUAGAGACUGAUAUAAUGACUGAUAUAGUGACUGAUAGAGUGGCUGAUAUAGAGACUGAUUGUGACUGAUAUAGAGACGGAUAGUGACUGAUAGAGACUGAUAUAGUGACUGAUAUAGAGAUUGAUCAUGAUUGAUAUAGAGACCGAUAUAAUGACUGAUAUAGUGACUGAUAGAGUGGCUGAUAUAGAGACUGAUUGUGACUGAUAUAGAGACGGAUAGUGACUGAAAGUGACUGAUAUAGAGACUGAUAUAGAGACUGAUAUAGUGACUGAUAUAGAGACUGAUUGUGACUGAUUGUGACUGAUAUAGAGACUGAUAUAGAGACUGAUAUAGUGACUGAUAUAGUGACUGUUAUAGUGACUGAUAUAGAGACUGAUAUAGGGACUGAUAUAGGGACUGAUAUAGGGACUGUUAUAGUGACUGAUAUAGAGACUGAUAUAAGGACGGAUAGAGACUGAUAGAGACUGAUUGAGACUGAUAUAAUGACUGAUAUAGAGACUGAUAUAGAGAGUGAUAUAAUGACUGAUAGAGACUGAUAGUGACUUAUAUAAUGACUGAUAUAGAGUGAUAUAGUGACUGAUAUGGUGACUGAUAUAGGGACUGAUAUGGUGACUGAUAUAGCACCUUAUUCCUCGUUAUAGUGACUGAUAUAAUGACUGAUAUAAUGACUGAUAUAGUGACUGAUAUAAUGACUGAUAUAGUGACUGAUAUAGUGACUGAUAUAGUGACAUAUAAUGACUGAUAUAGUGACUGAUAUAGCACCUUAUUCCUCGUUAUAGUGACUGAUAUAAUGACUGAUAUAGAGUGAUAUAGUGACUGAUAUAGACUGAUAUAGUGACUGAUAUAGUGACUGAUAUAGCACCUUAUUCCUCGUUAUAAUGACUGAUAUAGAGUGAUAUAGUGACUGAUAUAGACUGAUAUAUCACCUUAUUCCUCGUUAUAGUGACUGAUAUAAUGACUGAUAUAGUGACUGAUAUAGCACCUUAUUCCUCGUUAUAGUGACUGAUAUAUGACUGAUAUAGAGACUGAUAUAGUGACUGAUAUAGCACCUUAUUCCUCGUUAUAGUGACUGAUAUAUGACUGAUAUAUGACUGAUAUAGUGACUGAUAUAGCACCUUAUUCCUCGUUAUAGUGACUGAUAUAGUGACUGAUAUAGCACCUUAUUCCUCGUUAUAGUGACUGAUAGAGUGACUGAUAUAGCACCUUAUUCCUCGUUAUAGUGCGCUAUAUAGGGAUUGGGGUUCCAUUUGGGAUACACGUGAGGGACAAUUAGUAUCUGAUUGAUUUAAAACCAGGAGUUCCUUAUCAGAUACAAAUGUCUGAAUCUGUGAGGAACAUUGUGAAACACCAUGUCUCCUAGAGCCUACAGAGGACUUUGAUGGGUUUUUAUUCUAGCUAUGGAGAGUGAACUAACAUUCACUUUUCGUAUCAUUUUUUUUCUACAGGCUGCUUAGUAUGUAAUUGAACUGUAGUAGAUAAAUACUUCUACUUUAUUUUUUAUUUGUUCAAAUAGAAAAUUGUUCACUUGAUAUUUUAAGCUGGAAAAUGUUUUAUACCAUCUCAAGACCUGGCUCCACCAACAAGCGGAAUUCUCUUUUGGAAUUCAGAUUUCUCUUUUGGAAUUCAGAUUUCUCUUUUGGAAUUCAGAAUUCUCUUUUGGAAUUCAGAUUUCUCUUUUGGAAUUCAGAUUUCUCUUUUGGAAUUCAGAAUUCUCUUUUGGAAUUCAGAUUUCUCUUUUGGAAUUCAGAAUUCUCUUUUGGAAUUCAGAAUUCUCUUUUGGAAUUCAGAAUUCUCUUUUGGAAUUCAGAAUUCUCUUUUGGAAUUCAGAAUUCUCUUUUGGAAUUUGGAAUUGUCUUUUGGAAUUCAGAUUUCUCUUGGAAUUUGGAAUUGUCUUUUGGAAUUCGGCAGCCAUCUUGAAAGGCUAUCGAGGUGUCACUGUUAAAAAUGUCUUACACUGUUGAAAGAAACUAGUGUAGAUUGAAUUGAAAUCAACACACUGAAUUUGAAUAGUAAUUCUUAGUGUAGUAUUUGUAUUGAGUUGUUUUCUAUUGAACAUUGCAGCUUCAUAGUGUUUUCUGACAAUACAUAAAGGGAUCAAUCACUGUUAUGUUUGUUAGAUUCAAAUAAAAAAU
ensembl:lncRNA